GUGAAAGGAGAGCAUGAGGAGCGUGGGGCAUGUGAGCUGCACCUUGGAAGCGGAGUCUGUCUAAUUUGGUCGCCAGCACCUUGCAGGCUGCUCGAGAAGGUACUUACAUGACCCUGUGAGAUCCCAUCCUUGUGAUGCAGGCUGGCCGGGGCUGAGGACGGAGAGGGAGUCCUCGGAACCAGUCAAGAAGGUCUUUGGCUUCGUGCAGGAUAGAAAUCAAAGGUGAGGGGCGCCUGGGUGGCUCAGUUGUUAAGC
rnacentral:lncRNA from 1 species